rnacentral:misc_RNA from 1 species
AAGUCGUAACAAGGUCUCCGUAGGUGAACCUGCGGAGGGAUCAUUAACACGUUGCAAAACGUUUCUAUUCAAACCAACCGCGUGAAUUAAUUGAAUCAACUAUUAUACCCCGACCUGAGUGAGAGAGAAUUCUGUUUAGAAUGCACGGAGUGAUGAGUGUGUAUAUGAGCAAUCAUAUACAUACGGUGUAUCUAAACUAGUAUUACGAGUUUCACUGUGUGCGCAAGUAUACAGUGAAACAGAGAUUUUACAAGACCUCUUUUAUUCAGGCUUUUAACCAGUUCUCUUCAUCGCUAGAACGCAACAACCCCUUUCACCACUUAUAAUUAAAUUGACUGAUAUGUUCUUAGUUAAGCGAAAGCUUAACACAUGGGAACAACCUAAUCAAAUAUCUAAGCACAACUCUUAGCAACGGAUAUCUUGGUUCUC